rnacentral:rRNA from 1 species
AUGCGCCAUGAUGAUGAGUUCGCAAUAGUUGCCUUUUUUGUGGGGGUCAAGUUUGCAAUAGUUGCAGUGGAGGAAGAACAACCAACUAAUGGGAAUUCUGAAUCUGAGAAGCAAGAAGAAAAUGUCGACACUAACAUCAGUGAUGACUGUGUAAGUGGCUCUCCGUACGUAACUAAUUCGUUGGAUGCACAUUUACAGUCUCUUAGUGUUCAUGAACAUCUAAUUUUUACUUUGAUAUUAAAACAAGAGAUUAUUUCCUAUGUUAAGGUAUAUGAUCUUAUUUCUGAAUUGAAGAUUAUCAAAUUGACUUAGUCAUAUGGCGUAAUGUCUGCUAUGGAGAUUUUCAAGCAUGUGAGAAAGGUUGAUUGUUAUCCCAAUGUGUCCACUGUUUAUUGCAUCUUAUUUACUGUGCAUGUGAUUGUCGCAUCGAUUGGACGAAGCUUUUCAAAGUUGAAAUUAUUGAAGAACUAUUUAAAUACAACAAUGACUCAAGAGAGACUAAAUGGAUUGGUAAUAUUAUGCAUCGAGAAGAAAAAUUAUUGGGUGAGAUUGGCAUCAACCCCCUCAUAUUAUAAGUGA